rnacentral:rRNA from 1 species
UACGUAGGGGGCUAGCGUUGUCCGGAUUUAUUGGGCGUAAAGAGCGUGUAGGCGGCCAUGUAGGUCCGGUGUGAAAUACCGGGGCUCAACCCCGGAACUGCAUUGGAUACUGCAUUGCUAGAGUACUGGAGAGGGAACUGGAAUUUACGGUGUAGCAGUGAAAUGCGUAGAGAUCGUAAGGAAGACCAGUGGCGAAGGCGAGUUCCUGGACAGUUACUGACGCUGAGGCACGAAGGCCAGGGGAGCAAACGGG